rnacentral:lncRNA from 1 species
GGUUUACAGAGGACUAAUCCUUCGGGGCUCUUCCAGCGCCCGACCUUGUGCGUGACGCUUCUCCGAGCUCCCUCGGCCAUCCGGACUGCUUCGACGAUGGGCUUCUGCAUUCACCCAUCGGGCCGCCCCAAAGGCCCUCUGAGCCUCACUGAUUAGCCGACCUUCUACAGCAAUCGACUACCCCCGAACUUCUUUCGGGCUUCGUCAGCAUCCGAGCUUCUCCGACAAUGAGAUUUCUACGGUAACCGGACUCCUUCCAAGUUUCUACGGUGGACGACCACC